AUCUUUCUCCCGUGCUGGAUGUUUCCUGUCCUGUGACAUCAGACUCCAGGUUCCUCGGCCUUUGGACUCUUGGACUUACACCAGUGGUUUGUCGGGGGCUCUGGAGCCUUUGGCCACAGACUGAAGGCUGCACUGUUGGCUUCCCUACUUUUGAGGCUUUCGGACUUGUACUGAGCCACUACUCGCUUCCUACCUCCUCAGCUUGCAGAUGGCCUAUCGUGGGACUUCACCUUGUGAUCGUAAAUGUGUCUCUGAUGAAUGUUGGACCAAAGGGAGUAAACAGAACCCAAGACAUCUAACAAAAUGUUCCCCAGAAUUAAGAUGAACACCAAAGAGAAUAGAUAAUUUUAUGGAAACUAUGUUGGUGGGAUCCACUUCCAGCUGUGUGUGUCUGCACACCUCAUUCCUCUUGGUCGUGAGACAAGAACUCAGAACUUGCUGAAAUGCAGAAGUGAAAGAGCAGUAUCACUCCAUCCUGCUGAACUACGGGAGUGAAGAAGCCACAGUAGGACUUUACUAGAAGUGAGGAUUGGAGAACAGAAUCUUUCCAAAAGGAACACCUCGAAUACUCACUUCAUCAAGUCUCUGCAGACCAAAACCCAUCUCUGCUAACCAUACCCAUCUUAAAGAUACAGGAACAACUGCCAUGUUGUGGAGAGAGCAGAAAACAGCAGGCAAUCUCCCAGCCCUGAGAAUGGCCUCCUCUUCCCAACAGCCAGCAGGAAGGCUGGAAUCUCAGUCCUACGACCAAAAGAAACUCUAUUCUAACAGGCCAAAUCAGUCUGGAAGAAGAUCUUAAGCUUCAGCUCACAGAUUCUCUGCCUGUGUCGUAUGGCUAUUGCCAGGGGAUGAACGAGGGUUGCUCUUCGCAAUUCAAGACUGUCUUUCCUACCCUCUUCAGUGCCUCUUGAUGUUAAAACCAGGAGUUUUAGAGUUUCAGGUUUUGCAGAUCUGGUUUCAGAUCUAAGAUCUACUAUUCACUUGGAAUAUCUUUUUGUGUAUAAUGUGAGGCACGUGUCAAAAACCUUUCUACCACCACAUUCUGGCUGUGCAACUUUGAUUAAGUCGCUUAACGUCUCUGAGCCUUAGUUCCUCAUCUCCAUGUGGGAAAGCGAAGAGAUGGUCACCAAGGAGAAGCUGCAGUGUCUGAAAGAUUUCCACAAGGACAUCCUGAAGCCCUCGCUGGGGAAGAGCCAGAGAGCGCGGUCUGAGGACAAGGCCGAGGGAAAACCUCCGCAGAGGCAGAAGUGGUCUCGUCUAGCAAGAUCGACUUGGUGAUCUCCGUGGCUGGCGGCUUCGUGGGCCUGGUCAACGUCUGGCGCUUCCCAUACCUCUGAUACAAUAAUGGUAAGGUGAAUUUCUCAUACUUUCCUGUUUGGAGCGGCCUGCCUGUGUUUUUCUUGGAGAUCAUCACAGGCCAGUACACCUCUGAAGGGGGCAUCACAUACUGGGAGAAGAUCUGGCACUUGUUCUCUGGCAUCGGCUCUGCCUCCAUCGUAAUUGUGCCCUUCCCGAACGUCCACUACAUCGUCAUCGUGGCCUGGGCUACAGACUACCUGUUCCAGUCCUUCCAGAAGGAGCUGCCCAGGGCACACUGCAACCACAGCUGGAACACGCCCCCCUGCAUGGAGGACACCAUGCGCACGAACGAGAGUGUCUGGAUCACCAUCAGCUCCACCAACCUUACCUCCCCUGUCACUGAGUUCUAGGGGCGCAACGUGCUGAGCUUGUCCCCUGGAAUCGACCAUCCGGGCUCUUUGAAAUGGGACCUCUCUCUCUGUCUUCUCUUUGUCUGGCUAGCCUGUUUCUUCUGCAUCUAGAAGGAUGUCAGGUCCACGGGGAAGGUCGUCUACUUCACAGCCACGUUCCAGUUCGCCAUGCUCCUGAGGCAGCUGGUCCGAGGGCUGAUGCUGCCCGGCAUGGGUGCCGGCAUCAAUUUUUCUCUGUAUCCAGACAUCACCUGCCUCGAGGGCGCACAGGUGUGUAUUGACGCUACGACCCAGAUAUUCUUCUCCUAGGCCAUCUGCCUGGGGGCCGUGACCUCUCUACGGAGCUACAACAAGUACAAGUACAACUCGUACAGGGACUGCAUGCUGCCUGGAUGCCUGAACAGUGGUACCAGUUUUGUGUCUGGCUUUGCAAUUUUUUCCAUCCUGGACUUCAUGGCACGAAAGCAAGGGGUGGCCAUUGCUGACGUGUCUGAGUCAGGCCUGGCCUGGUCUUCGUUGCCUACCCCAAAGCUGUGACAAUGAUGCCACUGCCCACGUUUUCGGUCCCUUUUUGUUGUUGUUGUUGUUGUGCUUCUCUUGCUUGGACUGGAUGACCAGUUUGUUGAAGUCGAAGGGGAGAUCACGUCCUUGGUUGAUCUUUACCCAUCCUUCCUAAGGAAAGGUUAUUGUCGGGAAAUCUGCACCGCCUUCGUGUGUAGCAUCAGCUGCCUGCUGGGGCUGACAAUGGUAACGGAGGUUGGCGUCUAUGUCUUUGACUACUACGCAGCUAGCGGUGUAUGCCUUUUAGGGGCUGCGUUCUUUGACUGUAUAGUUACUGCCUGGAUAUAUGGUGUUGAUAAUAUUUAUGACAGUAUUGAGAACGUGAUCGGCUAUCGGGCCGGGCCCUGGAUGAAGUACAGCUGGGCUGUGAUCACUCCAUUUCUCUGUGUUGGAUGUUUUGUCUUCUCGAUCGUCAAGUACACACCCCUGACUUAACAACGAAACCUACGUGGACACCAUCUGCACCAUCGGGCUGGGCUGGAGCCUGGCCCUUUCCUCCAGGUUGUGGGUUCCCUUGGUCAUCGUCAUCCGCCUCUGCCAGACCGAGGGACUGUUUCUCGUGAGAGUCAAGUAACUGCUGACCCUCAGGGAACCCAACCGCAGGGCUGUGGGGCGCGAGGGAGCCACACCCUACAGCUCCCGCUCCGUCAUGAGCGGCGCUCUCAUGAAACCGACCCACAUCAUUGGGGGUAGGAAAUGCUUUCUUUAAACUAUUAUUCUCUGGGUUCUUGUUUCUCUGCUUCAUUGUUUUAGAGUUUACCUUUCAUAUUAAAGUAUUUACCCAAGUAUGUGGGGACUUUUUAUUUCUUUUCUUUGCAAGAAUUAUUUUUUUAAUUACACUAUUUGUAAUAGAAAAGUUGAAACAUACACAAAAGUAAAGGUACUAUUAUGAUCAGUAUGUAUUCAGUAUUUUGGUCAAUCUUUCUUAAUAUAAUUUUGUAUAUCUAUAUAUAGAUAUAUAGGUACAUUAUUUUGCUAGAUUAUUUUAAAGCAAAUCUUACAUAGCUUGCCUUUUCACCCAACAGUAAUUUGGUAUGCUUCAUUAACUUUAAUAUUUUGAUUUUACAUUACCACCAUGUCUUUAAUAACUCAACAAUAUUCGUUACAUUUUAAUAAUAUUUUAUACCCAGCCAAAAUUUACAUGUUUCUUAUUGUUCUAAAUGUUAUUUUAAUUUUGCUUGCUUGAAUUAGGAUGCAAAGUUCACACACUGCAUAUUUGUUUACUUAUUUUUAAAGAGGGAGUCAUAAUUUGGUACUCCUAUGUCAUAAAUAAAAAGUCAAUAGGAGUAAUUGAGUUACUCGUUUUCAAUAUUGGCAAUUUGAUGAUUAUAUUCCUUUUAAAGUCGUAUAACUAUGGUUGGAUACAUUGAGAGAGUUCAUUUUCUCCUACUCAUCAGUGUGUGUAUGGAUCUCUUUAGCAACAUAUCCAAAAAAUUAUAAUCACCCUUCUGCUUAAACAAUUCCAGGGACAAGAAUUUCACCAUUUCCAAGGAUAUCAAAUAUCACAGUAUUUGAUAUGUUGAAUCAUUAGACUUUGUUCUCAUGUGGAAAAAACAUAAUUCCACAUGGAAUACAUUGUUACUCUUCAAUGAUAUAUAGGAUUAUAUAUACUGAUUCUACCAAUUCUACAUGAAAUAUGACACAUUAUUUUUUAAAUAUGCAGACUUUAUGUUUUAGAGCAGUUUUAUGUAUCACCUUACUCCCCUCUUCCAGCAUGCACUGACAUGGUAUAUUUGUUACAAUUGAUGAAUCAAUAUUGGUACAUUGUUGUAAAAGCCCACACUUUUCAUUGGGGUUCACUCCUUGUGUUGUACAUUUUAUGGGUUUCCACAAAUGUACAGUUGCAUGUAUCCAUUAUAACAUUGUCAUUAAGUACAGUUUCAAUGCCUUAAAAUCCCUGCCCAUUGCCUGUUCAUCCCUCCCUCCCUUUAAUAAAAUCCCUGGAAACCACUGAUGUUUGAAUGUCUUUUAUGCUUUGCCUUUUCCAAAAUAUCAUGUAGUUGAAAUCACACAGUAUGUUUUAUUUUCAGAUUGGCUUUUUUGUUUACUUAGCAUGGAAGGUGCCUCUGUGACUUUCAAUGGCUUAAUAGCUCCUUUUUAUCAC
rnacentral:lncRNA from 1 species